GGAGUUAGCCGGUGCUUCUUCUGUGAGUGAUGUCCUUCCUGCCGGCUAUUAACCCGCAGGCCUUCUUCCUCACUGAAAGUGCUUUACAACCCGAAGGCCUUCUUCACACACGCGGCAUGGCUGGAUCAGGGUUGCCCCCAUUGUCCAAUAUUCCCCACUGCUGCCUCCCGUAGGAGUCUGGGCCGUGUCUCAGUCCCAGUGUGGCUGAUCAUCCUCUCAGACCAGCUACGGAUCGUCGCCUUGGUGAGCCGUUACCUCACCAACCAGCUAAUCCGACAUAGGCUCAUCCGAUAGCGCGAGGCCCGAAGGUCCCCCGCUUUCCCCCGUACGGGCGUAUGCGGUAUUAGCCUGGGUUUCCCCACGGUUAUCCCCCACCUACCGGGCGAGAUUCCUAUGCAUUACUCACCCGUCCGCCGCUCGCCACCACGGGAGCAAGCUCCCCGUCGCUGCCGCUCGACUUGCAUGUGUUAGGCCUGCCGCCACGCGUCUAAUACUGAGCCACGAAUACGAACCCGUACGACUACGAGCGGGCGUCGGCGACGGACGGCGACUAGAG
rnacentral:rRNA from 1 species